GGGCGGUUAGCUCAGCGGUAGAGCACUUCCUUGACAUGGAAGGGGUCACAGGUUCGAUCCCUGUACCGCCCACCA
rnacentral:tRNA from 3 species